UAAAUUUAAAAUAGAACUCAAAUCAGCAGAAAAAAUUAUUAUACUGCUACAAGAAGAGAUAAACAGUCAAGACCAUCUUCCCCUUAGCUGAGUGUCUGCUUUUUAUCCCUGAGACAGAACAGGAGCAGCUCUGGGUGGCAGAAUCAAUAUUGGAGAUAAACUCAGAGGGAAACACGGAAGGUGGUUCCAUUGUGCUAAAUGCUACAGCAGAAUUCUGCCACACACUGGGUGACAUCCCCGCUUAUGGUCUGGCUGGCAACAGGGAUGAGGACGCUCAGGAACUACUUGACUUUGAGAGGGAAAUGAUUGAAGAGAAGAAACAUCAGGAAGAAGGCAAACAUGGAGCUUGGAAUGAAGUUGAGAUUGAGAUGAUGAAAAGUUUGGGCAUCGCAAGCGCUACAGUGGUCCGAACUCAGACUUCAAAGAAAAGGAGGGCUACAAACCUAAUGUUAAACUCGACUACACAGAUUAUGAUGGACACAUAAUUAAUACAAAGGAGGCUUUAAGAUACCUGUCUCAUAAACUUCAUGGAAAGGGACCUGGCAAAAAUAAAGUGGAGAAAUGAAUGAAGAAAACUGAACAGGAGGGAUUGAUGAAACAGAUGAGCUCAACAGACACUCACUCGGACCGCAUAGCCUCUUGCAGCAGAAACAGAAAGAAAUGCAGUCUCCAUUCGUGGUCCUUAGUGGCGGUAAACAGACAUGAGGCAACCAUCUCAAAAACAAAACUGCAAAUUCUUCAUGAAAUAUGCUGGCAACAACUCUGAACUUUGGCGUAGACUUAUGUUUUUAAUGUUUCUUACUGUCUGGAAUAUCAUCUCUGUUUUAAAUAAGACACAGCUUGCAGCUGCCAACAGUGCCUAUGUGUACUGGAAGGAAGGCCACAGAGUUCAUGUCACAUUCAAAUGAGUACAGUGGUUCUCCUGCUUCCUUAGGUAACCUGUUGGCACCUGUAAGCUGGAAAGUACAAUUUCUAGUGAUUAGUUGCUUGCUUAUAGGACUUGAGCCAGAUGAACAGCCUCUAUGCUAAAUCAGACAUGAAGUAAUUAUGUUUGGCCUUUCUUGAUUGCAAUAGCAAUAUUGUAUCCUUCCAAGGGAAGAAAGAAACCCUUGUUCAGUUGUAGGUCAGUAUGAAAAGCUGUAAAAUUAUGCAAGCAACAGAAUCAGAAGGUGUACAGUCUACUGCAAAUCAUUGUAAAGCACCACUGAUAUAUCUCUGAAACAUU